GAAGACCAAGGGUUCCUGUCCAACGUUAAUCGGGGCAGGGUGAGUCGACCCCUAAGGCGAGGCCGAAAGGCGUAGUCGAUGGGAAACAGGUUAAUAUUCCUGUACUUGGUGUUACUGCGAAGGGGGGACGGAGAAGGCUAUGUUGGCCGGGCGACGGUUGUCCCGGUUUAAGCGUGUAGGCUGGUUUUCCAGGCAAAUCCGGAAAAUCAAGGCUGAGGCGUGAUGACGAGGCACUACGGUGCUGAAGCAACAAAUGCCCUGCUUCCAGGAAAAGCCUCUAAGCAUCAGGUAACAUCAAAUCGUACCCCAAACCGACACAGGUGGUCAGGUAGAGAAUACCAAGGCGCUUGAGAGAACUCGGGUGAAGGAACUAGGCAAAAUGGUGCCGUAACUUCGGGAGAAGGCACGCUGAUAUGUAGGUGAAGUCCCUCGCGGAUGGAGCUGAAAUCAGUCGAAGAUACCAGCUGGCUGCAACUGUUUAUUAAAAACACAGCACUGUGCAAACACGAAAGUGGACGUAUACGGUGUGACGCCUGCCCGGUGCCGGAAGGUUAAUUGAUGGGGUCAGCGCAAGCGAAGCUCUUGAUCGAAGCCCCGGUAAACGGCGGCCGUAACUAUAACGGUCCUAAGGUAGCGAAAUUCCUUGUCGGGUAAGUUCCGACCUGCACGAAUGGCGUAAUGAUGGCCAGGCUGUCUCCACCCGAGACUCAGUGAAAUUGAACUCGCUGUGAAGAUGCAGUGUACCCGCGGCAAGACGGAAAGACCCCGUGAACCUUUACUAUAGCUUGACACUGAACAUUGAGCCUUGAUGUGUAGGAUAGGUGGGAGGCUUUGAAGUGUGGACGCCAGUCUGCAUGGAGCCGACCUUGAAAUACCACCCUUUAAUGUUUGAUGUUCUAACGUGGACCCGUGAUCCGGGUUGCGGACAGUGUCUGGUGGGUAGUUUGACUGGGGCGGUCUCCUCCUAAAGAGUAACGGAGGAGCACGAAGGUUGGCUAAUCCUGGUCGGACAUCAGGAGGUUAGUGCAAUGGCAUAAGCCAGCUUGACUGCGAGCGUGACGGCGCGAGCAGGUGCGAAAGCAGGUCAUAGUGAUCCGGUGGUUCUGAAUGGAAGGGCCAUCGCUCAACGGAUAAAAGGUACUCCGGGGAUAACAGGCUGAUACCGCCCAAGAGUUCAUAUCGACGGCGGUGUUUGGCACCUCGAUGUCGGCUCAUCACAUCCUGGGGCUGAAGUAGGUCCCAAGGGUAUGGCUGUUCGCCAUUUAAAGUGGUACGCGAGCUGGGUUUAGAACGUCGUGAGACAGUUCGGUCCCUAUCUGCCGUGGGCGCUGGAGAACUGAGGGGGGCUGCUCCUAGUACGAGAGGACCGGAGUGGACGCAUCACUGGUGUUCGGGUUGUCAUGCCAAUGGCACUGCCCGGUAGCUAAAUGCGGAAGAGAUAAGUGCUGAAA
rnacentral:rRNA from 1 species